rnacentral:rRNA from 1 species
UUGGGUAUCAGAGUUUAUUAAAAAAUUUAUUUAAAUAAAAUAUUUCUCGAAUUAAAAAGAGAUAAUUAAUUAAAAAAGUUAUUGUUGCAAAAAUAUUUUUAAUAAUUAAUUUGAAAUGAAAUGUUAAUCGUUUUUUAAUAUAUCUAGUUUUUUUAGAAAAAAAUUUAAUUUUAAAUUUAUUUAAUAAAUUAAUUAAUUAAAUAAUUAAUUUAAAAUAAAAUUUUAUAUUUUAAGGGAUAAGCUUUAAUUUAAAUUUUUAUAAUUAAAAUUUAAAUUAUAUAAAAAUUUUAGAAUUUAUAUUGUUUAAAAAUUUUAAUUUAUUAUAAAUAAUUUUAAUAUAAAUAAAAUUUAAAAAAAAUUUAAUUUUUUAUAAAAAAUUAAAUUUGAAUAUAAUAUAAUUAGAUAUAAUGAUAAAAUUAGUAUAAAUAAUUUUAAUAAUAUUAAUUUAAUUUAAAUUAAUUUAAAGGAAUUCGGCAAAUAAAUAUAUUCACUUGUUUAUCAAAAACAUGUCUUUUUGAAAAUAAUUAAAGU